CCUACGGGGGGCUGCAGUAGGGAAUCUUGCACAAUGGACGCAAGUCUGAUGCAGCAACACUGCGUGAAGGAUGAAGGUUUUCGGAUCGUAAACUUCUUUUAUCAGGGAAUAAUCUUGAAGGUACCUGAUGAAUAAGCACCGGCUAACUACGUGCCAGCAGCCGCGGUAAUACGUAGGGUGCAAACAUUAUCCGGAUUUAUUGGGCGUAAAGAGCUCGUAGGUGGUUUGAAAAGUCAGAUAUGAAAGACCCAGGCCCAACCUGGGGAACGUAUCUGAAACUUUCUGACUAGAGGUGUGCAGGGGAAGAUGGAACACACGGUGUAGCAGUGAAAUGCGUAGAUAUCGUGUGGAACGCCAAUGGUGAAGACAGUCUUCUGGGCAUUACCUGACACUGAGGAGCGAAAGCGUGGGGAGCGAACGGGCUUAGAUACCCUGGUAGUC
rnacentral:rRNA from 1 species